CCUACGGGGGGCAGCAGUGAGGAAUAUUGGUCAAUGGACGCAAGUCUGAACCAGCCAUGCCGCGUGAAGGAUGAAGGCCUUUGGGUUGUAAACUUCUUUUAUCUGGGAAGCGGUACCAGAGGAAUAAGCACCGGCUAACUCCGUGCCAGCAGCCGCGGUAAUACGGAGGGUGCAAGCGUUAUCCGGAUUCACUGGGUUUAAAGGGUGUGUAGGCGGGUAUUUAAGUCAGUGGUGAAAUCUCCAGGCUCAACCUGGAAACUGCCAUUGAUACUAUUUAUCUUGAAUAUUGUUGAGGUAGGCGGAAUAUAUCAUGUAGCGGUGAAAUGCUUAGAUAUGAUAUAGAACACCGAUUGCGAAGGCAGCUUACUAAACAAUAUUGACGCUGAGGCACGAAAGCGUGGGGAUCAAACAGGAUUAGAUACCCUUGUAGUC
rnacentral:rRNA from 1 species